UACAGAGGGGGCAAGCGUUGUUCGGAAUUACUGGGCGUAAAGGGCGCGUAGGCGGCCUUCUAAGUCGAACGUGAAAUCCCCGGGCUCAACCCGGGAACUGCGUCCGAUACUGAAAGGCUUGAAUCCGGGAGAGGGAUGCGGAAUUCCAGGUGUAGCGGUGAAAUGCGUAGAUAUCUGGAGGAACACCGGUGGCGAAGGCGGCCUGCUGGGCAGUAGCUGACACUGAGGCGCGACAGCGUGGGGAGCAAACAGG
rnacentral:rRNA from 1 species